CCUGGCUGCAGUCCUGAUUUCUAUCAAUGUUUGGUCCCAGAAUGAACUGGACUACUGCUACCUUCUGGCUGCCCUGACCUUGGACCGAACUGACUUCCAUGACCUCUGGUAUCCUGACCAUGGCUUUGUUUGUGGCUUGCUUCUCUCGGACUAUAGAAAGGUAUGAGGCAGCAUGGUGCAGUGGUUUGAGCAAUGGACUACA